CAAGUGACCCCGGUCUAACCACCGGGAUGUUCAUAACCCUUUGUUGUCCGACUCUGUUGCCUCCGGGGCGACCCUGCCUUCGGGCGGGGGCUCCGGGUGGACACUUCAAACUCUUGCGUAACUUUGCAGUCUGAGUAAACUCAAUAGUAAAU
rnacentral:misc_RNA from 1 species